CGUGUCUUUUUUGCUCUAAGACCUGUGAUUCUUUUUGCAACCGUGCAUUAAAAUGGGUUUUCUCCAAGGCAUAAUAAAAAUAUCACAGUAGUGACAUACAUCAUCUUUUGGGCGCCAUGUUAUGUGAUGAAAUUUUUCAUGGUACACUUAGUUUGCAUUUGUCCAAAGUAACUGAAAGUGAGAAUGCGCACUGACCUGCUCCAGAGCAACCGUAUUAGCCACCAAUAAUGCAGACGAUCACAUGCGUCAAUUUGACUCUGUGCAGCACAGUGUGUUUAUUAUUUCUGCAAUAAACUGGGCUGCCGCUCAUCCGGGGCGGCGGGGAUGCCCCAG